UUAAGCUCUGNACUGCCAUCAAAACCUGUUCAGCUAGAGUUUGAUAGACGCAAAGCAGAAUUUCUAGUCGUAGAGGUGAGAGUCGUAGCUAUUAGAAAAGAAUCCCCAUUGCGAAGGCAGCUUUCUGGAUCAUUACUGACACUGAGGAACGAAAGCAUGGGUAGCGAAGAGGAUUAGAUACCCUCGUAGUCCAUGCCGUAAACGAUGUGUGUUAGACGUUGGAAAUUUAUUUUCUGUGUCGCAGCGAAAGCGAUACACACACCGCCUGGGGAGUACGUCCGCAAGGUUAAAACUCAAAUGAAUUGACGGGGACCCGCACAAGUAGUGGAGCAUGUGGUUUAAUUCGAAGAUACGCGCAGAACCUUACCAACACUUGACAUGUUCGUCGCGACUUUAAGAGAUUAAAGUUUUCGGUUCGGCCGGACGAAACACAGGUGCUGCAUGGCUGUCGUCAGCUCGUGUCGUGAGAUGUUGGGUUAAGUCCCGCAACGAGCGCAACCCUCACUUUUAGUUGCCAUCAUUUAGUUGGGCACUCUGAAAGAACUGCCAGUGAUAAGCUGGAGGAAGGUGGGGAUGACGUCAAGUCCUCAUGGCCCUUACGUGUUGGGCUACACACGUGCUACAAUGAUAUCUACAACAGGAAGCAAGACGGCGACGUUAAGCAAAUCCUUAAAAGAUAUCUCAGUUCGGAUUGCACUCUGCAACUCGAGUGCAUGAAGCUGGAAUUACUAGUAAUCGUGGAUCAGCGUGCCACGGUGAAUGCGUUCCCGGGUCUUGUACACACCGCCCGUCACACCAUGGGAGUUGGUUCUACCUUAAGGCAAGGUUUAAUACCCUUGACCACGGUAUAGUCAGCGACUGGGGUGAAGUCGUACCAAGGUAGCCGUA
rnacentral:rRNA from 1 species